rnacentral:lncRNA from 1 species
GCGACAAUCAGACCUGGUUCAUUCCAGCCGCCUUCGUCUAGGUUCGCCUGGUUCUGAAGUCUUCCGGGACGACCUCAAACCCCCACAGUGACCAGGAUGCCGACAAAGAUUCCCUCGGGAAUGGCACGAGUCUUGGGGAAGAGCUAAGCAGACCCUAAGGGCCCAGGCCGGGCCGGACGCCAAGGCGAGGCCCGGGACGCCCUUGGAGGUUAAUCCUCUAGAUACUAAGGGCUGCGGGGCGCUUGGGGGCGGCACUGAGGUAGGGCGUGGGAGAAGACCGGGGUGACCUUUCCUCCGGGGGUUCCCAGGUCCGAGACGGUCCUUAAAGGACCUCAGAAGGAUACGACAACCAUCCCAUGAGGCCCCACGGGAACCAGCUACUCACCCAGGGGCAGAAACAGCAAGAGCAAGUGCCCUCAGCCGGCCUCACACAGGAAGGAAACGCAACCUGGGAGAGAACGCUUCCGGCGGGAGGCGCGGCGCACUCCCUCCCACGGAGCAUGCGCGACCCGCGGUCGCCGGCGCGGAGGGGGCGUGCUCCCAGGCUUAGAAACAGUGAGGGAGAGCAAAUUCGCGCACCUGAUGUCUGCUUAAGCUACCUGCUAGACUGAGACUUUCUGCGAAGCCGGCGUGUCUGCGAGCAGCACUCGCUAAGGCUCUGCGUUUAACAGACACUACCUUUGGGAAGGCGCUUAUCACAAAAAGUCCCUGCCCUUCUCGCGGGCUCGGGGCGCAACCCUGACAAAUCGGGCAGCCUUCUUGAGAGUGCAGAAAUGCUCUGCGUACCCAGCAAAUACAUUCUCUCCUUCCCACCACUCUGUGCAAACCCUCACGCCGCGGCUUUGUGUCUGUACUUUAGCCAAAACGCAGAAGCUUAUGGCCACCCUCCACUCCUCACCCCUCAUCCCUCACCACCUGCCUUUCAAUUCUCGGAACGAGCGACGUGACACAAGAGGUCCCAAGGGAGCAAACCUGAAAGCCAGAGCCUCCUGAAUACACAAACUGCCGGUGGGCCAGAUGACAUUAGACACUCCUGAGAUACGAGAAGCAUCACUUCCUUCAGACAGAGUCGGUGAGACUAUGAUGUAAUGAGAGUUCUCCCUGUGUUCCUCAGGAAGGCAGCUUGUGCCUUUCUACUUGAGGCAUCAUCUUUGAUGGCUAAAGAAUUCUGCAGCUUGGCCAGCGCGGUGGCUUACGCCUGUAAUCCCAACACUUUGGGAGGCCGAAGCGAGAGGAUCACUUGAGGUCAGGAAUUCGAGACCAGCCUGGACAACAUAAUGAGAAAUCGUCUCUACAAAAAAAAAAAAAAAAAAAAAAAAAAAACCACCUAAAAAUUAGCUGGAUUUGGUGGCGCAUGUCUGUAGUCCCAGCUACUUGGGAGGCUGAGGUGGGAGAAUCGCUUGAGCGUGGGAGAUCACGGCUGCAGUGAUCAAGCCACUCCACUCCAGCCUGGGCGACAGAGCAAGCCCCUGUCUCAAUAAUAAUAACAAUUUUGCAGCCUGAUUGUUAACGAAUGUUACUAGUUACAAACUUGUAAUAAUGUGGUGAAGAUAAUACCUAGUUAAUGUCUGCUGGGGUGGGGCAAUAAGCUUCUAUGUGCUUUACAUGCAUAACCUAAAUAUCUCCCCCAAAAUCCUCUAAAAUAGCUAUCAUUUUCUCCGUUUUUACAAAUGAGCAAAUUUUAAAGCUUAAACCUUAGAGAAACUUUUCUAAGUUCAUAUACUUGGGAAAUAAAGGCAACAAUUUCAUUGGAACAUAGGUCUGUCUAAUUCAUACCUUGUACUUUACGUUUUCUCUUUGAGAUGGUAAUUUAAUACCAGCUAAACUUUAAAAUCUAGUUGAAAGUAAGACCAUGAAAUGCCAAAAUCACAAGGCUUUAAAGGAUGGGAUGAAAGGGAUG